GAAACUAGUACACUAGCAUUAAGGCCCAUAUGCAAACACCUAAGGGUCAUUUGCUGCUAUGUGUAAGAGAAACAAUUUAGUUAAGUAAGUAUAAUUUAGCUAAGAGAAAUGGAGAUAAAAAAAACUUGAUCCUCCCCCCAUUCUUUGCUUCGGCAUCUUCUUUCUCCAACAAUCAAAUUCUGUAUAUCAGAGGGAAGUACCACCGUCAUUAGACUAUCUUCCUGAAGACAAAUUCUUCGAGACUGAGGCCUCUUCUACGAGUGUCCUUCAAGUAACUCUGGGAAUCAAGGAUCCUUCCAAAUAUUCCUUGUAUCUGUCAGAUGCAUCAACAUUGUUUGAGAGAUCUACUUGUAAGGAGCAAAUAAGAUUGAUGAGUUGUGGCCACCAAAUCCAAAUGAAUUAGAUAAUGCCACCUUAAUAUCCAGUCGUUCCUUUAUGGGACCAACAAGUAUAUUUGUAUCCACGCCUUCAUCUGGGUUUUCAAGAUUAAUAUUUGGAUGAACCCAACCAGUUCGUAUUGCCUGGAUAGUUGCCACAGCCUCAACAGCACCAGCAGCUCCAAGCAGGUGACCAACCAUAGAUUUUGUGGAGUUAACUCGCAACUCUGGAUUUUGGCCAAAACAAUGAACAAGAGCUUGAUACUCCUUAAGAUCUCCUGCUGGUGUGGAUGUUGCAUGCGCAUUAAUGUAGUUCACAUCUUCCUUGGAUACCCCUGACUGAGCUAAUGCCUUCUCUACACAUAGGAUGACUCCAGUUCCUUUAGGAUGAGGCUCAGUCAUGUGAUAAGCAUCACAAGUAAAACUUCCACCUAGAAAUUCAGCAUAGAUUGUUGCACCUCUUUGCUUGGCAUGCUCAAGUUCUUCCAGAAGCAGGACACCAGCUCCUUCACCCAUGACAAAUCCAUCGCGAUUACUAUCCCAAGGCCGAGAAGCUCUUGAAGGGUCGGUAUUUCUCUGUGAAAGUGCUCUGCAAGCAACAAAUCCUCCCAAUCCAAUUGGUAUAAUUGCUGCAUCUGAUCCACCACACAGCAUCAUGUCAGCUUCACCUCUAAUGAUGUGGUUAGCGGCAUUCAAUAUGCAGAAGUUGCUUGUUGCACAUGCUGUUGAAAUUGAAUAAUUUGGACCCAUCCAUCCCAGGUCCAUGGCAAGCAUGGCAGAACCCAUGUUUGUAGUUGCAAAUGGGACACAAAAAGGAUUCAUCUUCCUAUAGGAAACCCUUAGAGCCUCUAUUGCAUCAUUGAAAACCUUCAUCCCACCCAUAGCAGAGCCAAUUAAAACUCCACAUCUUCUUUUAUCCAAUUCAUCCAUCAUGUCUUCAGUAAUUCCACCAUCUGAGAGUGCUUUCUUACCAGCCGUUAGCAUGUAAAGCAUGAACUUGUCCAUUCUUUUAGAAAGUUUGGGUACAAUCCAGCCAUCAGUUGAGAAAGACUUGAUCUCU
rnacentral:misc_RNA from 1 species